GUUCAAAUCACUCUGGAAGAUGGGGGAGGAGGAAAUGAUGGGAUGACCAGCCAGAGGUGCAGCUUCCCAUCUUCUCCUGUGGUUAAUUUGCAGAUCUCAUCUCCAUGUACUGUACCGUUCCCUGCCUCUGCUUAUCAGAGAGGUCUCGGGAUCUACAUUUGUGGCCUCCACUGCUGGGACAGUCAUCUGAAGUCACCUUGGCCUUCAGCAUCUUUGUGAAGUUAGACAAGAGGAAUGACCUUUAAUGAGCUGACUGUGUACCUAACGUGUGUCACCCUGUAAAGAAUGCUGUGGACUUCUACAGUUUGGUACCUUUAGCAGGGAAUGAUAACUUCUCUCAAAUACUGAACUUUCUUUUUCAGAAGUGACAUGGGGUUACUAAAAAU
rnacentral:lncRNA from 1 species